ensembl:ncRNA K10B4.8 ncRNA
GUGGGGCGAUAUAGCAACACAUACGAAAAGCCAUAAAACAAGAUGAUUUAGUAGUGGUCGUCGUAUGUCCGACACACAUACACCAUUCGACAGCAACAGCAGCAGCAGACGAGAGGAAAG